CUGGCGGCGUGCCUAAUGCAUGCAAGUCGAACGGGAUGAGCGCAAGCUCAUUCAGUGGCAGACGGGUGAGUAACACGUGGGUGACCUGUCGUGAAGUGGGGGAUAACUUCCUGAAAGGGAGGCUAAGACCGCAUGUGGUCGGUCGAUCAUACGGCCGAGUAAAGCAGCAAUGCGCUACACGGGGGGCCUGCGGCUGAUUAGCUAGUUGGUGAGGUAACGGCCCACCAAGGCGAUGAUCAGUAGCUGGUCUGAGAGGAUGAUCAGCCACACGGGGACUGAGACACGGCCCCGACUCCUACGGGAGGCAGCAGCAAGGAAUUUUCCGCAAUGGGCGAAAGCCUGACGGAGCAACGCCGUGGGUGAGGAAGUCUUUCGGGAUGUAAAACCCUUUUCUGUGGGAAGAGUAAGGACGGUACCACAGGAAUAAGCCCCGGCUAACUACGUGCCAGCAGCCGCGGUAAUACGUAGGGGGCGAGCGUUGUCCGGAAUUACUGGGCGUAAAGCGCGCGCAGGUGGCGCGACAAGUCUGACGUGAAAGUCCCCGGCUUAACCGGGAGGAGUCGUUGGAAACUGUCGUGCUGGAGGGCGGAAGAGGAGCAUGGAAUUCCCGGUGUAGUGGUGAAAUGCGUAGAGAUCGGGAGGAACACCAGUGGCGAAGGCGGUGCUCUGGUCCGCACCUGACGCUGAGGCGCGAAAGCGUGGGGAGCAAACGGGAUUAGAUACCCCGGUAGUCCACGCCGUAAACGAUGGACACUAGGUGUAAGUGGUAUUGACCCCACUUGUGCCGCAGCUAACGCAGUAAGUGUCCCGCCUGGGGAGUACGGCCGCAAGGCUAAAACUCAAAGGAAUUGACGGGGGCCCGCACAAGCAGCGGAGCGUGUGGUUUAAUUCGAUGCAACGCGAAGAACCUUACCAGGGUUUGACUUGUCGGUGUAAACGGCAGUGAUGUCGUCCCCACUUCGGUGGCACCGACACAGGUGCUGCAUGGCUGUCGUCAGCUCGUGCCGUGAGGUGUUGGGUUAAGUCCCGCAACGAGCGCAACCCUCGUCGGUAGUUGUAUUCUCUACCGAGACUGCCGCGAGCAACGCGGAGGAAGGUGGGGAUGACGUCAAGUCAGCAUGGCCCUUACGUCCUGGGCUACACACACGCUACAAUGGUCGGUACAGAGGGCAGCCAAGCCGCGAGGCGGAGCCAAUCCCACAAAGCCGGCCUCAGUACAGAUUGCAGGCUGCAACUCGCCUGCAUGAAGUCGGAGUUGCUAGUAACCGCCGGUCAGCAUACGGCGGUGAAUAUGUUCCCGGGCCUUGUACACACCGCCCGUCACGUCAUGAAAGCCGGCAACACUUGAAGUCGCUGGGCGAACCCGCAAGGGAAGCAGGCGCCGAGGGUGGGGCUGGUGAUUGGGACGAAGUCGUAACAAGGUA
rnacentral:rRNA from 1 species